rnacentral:rRNA from 1 species
GACGAACGCUGGCGGCGUGCUUCAUACAUGCAAGUCGAACGAGAAGCUGACUUCGGUCAGUGGAAAGUGGCGGACGGGUGAGUAAUAUGUAGGAAAUCUGCCUUUAGGAGGGGGACAACAGAGGGAAACUUCUGCUAAUACCCCAUAUGAGCGUAGCUGAAAUGCUAUUCUUGAAAACUCCGGUGCCUAAAGAUGAGCCUGCAUCUGAUUAGCUAGUUGGUAGUGUAAUGGACUACCAAGGCGACGAUCAGUAGCUGGUUUGAGAGGAUGAUCAGCCACAAUGGGACUGAGACACGGCCCAUACUCCUACGGGAGGCAGCAGUAGGGAAUUUUGCGCAAUGGGCGAAAGCCUGACGAAGCAACGCCGCGUGAACGAUUAAGCCCUUCGGGGUGUAAAGUUCUGUCGGUGGGGACGAAACUUGACGGUACCCACAGAGGAAGCACCGGCUAACUCCGUG